rnacentral:snRNA from 1 species
GCGCCCUAAAAAAACGCGGUACAUAUACUAAAAUUGGAACGAUACAGAGUAGAUUAGCAUGGCCCCUGCGCAAGGAAAUCUAGUAUUUACAAAAGUCUAUUUGCUU